rnacentral:rRNA from 1 species
UGGAAGUAAAAAAUCGUACAGGAUUUCCGCAUCAAGUUUUCGGAACGGAUCCGAUGAUCCUUCCGCGGUGACACUUAUCGAAGCCUUGAAAUGCGCCCUCGCAAGAGGGAGAUGCCCCGCGACUAUAAAACAAAGGGGGACUCGCAAGUCGGCCUGCGGGCCGGCGACACUUUCGAAUUGCGGGGACAUCCUUAGAGCUCUGCCUACCAACCCGCGGGGGAAACCUCGCGGGGGCCCGUGUUAACGGCACGGGGUGCGGUAAGAACGGUGUAGAGAUUGGACGAUCCGCAGCCAAGCCCCUACGUCCAGCCGGCCUGGAUACGGGGAAGGUUCACAGACUAAGUGGAAGUGGGUGCGGCCUCCCGGCCGCGCUUAAGAUAUAGUCGGGCCCCCAGCGAAAGCUGGGGGGUAAGUCACUGCGACGAGAGCCGUUCCGUAGGUGAACCUGCGGAAGGAUCAUUA